UUGUCCGGNAUUAUUGGGCGUAAAGCGAGCGCAGAGCGGUUUUUUAAGUCUGAUGUGAAAGCCUUCGGCUCAACCGAAGAAGUGCAUCGGAAACUGGGAAACUUGAGUGCAGAAGAGGACAGUGGAACUCCAUGUGUAGCGGUGAAAUGCGUAGAUAUAUGGAAGAACACCAGUGGCGAAGGCGGCUGUCUGGUCUGUAACUGACGCUGAGGCUCGAAAGUAUGGGUAGCAAACAGGAUUA
rnacentral:rRNA from 1 species